CGGGUAAAGCCAAUGAUUAGA
rnacentral:siRNA from 1 species